AAAUCCAAAGGCUUAUAUUCAUCUCUAACUUACCUCACGUGAUCUCAAAAUACAGGGUUUGGAACAUCGACGAAUUUUCAUGCAUAAAAUUUUGGUUCAUUGUAGGGCUAAAUCAAGCCGUAUAGGGUUGAGCGAUGGAGGAGGUGAAUCAUCUUUCUCUGUUGUCGCAUCCCCCUUCUAUAGCUUCACUUCCUGUUGAAGAAAGAGAGGGACAACAACUAAUGGAUGAUAAUGGUAUUGAUAAUAGUAAACAAGAUGCAAGAGGAGAAUUCAACAUCAAACUUGAAGUUGGGAUGAAAUUUGAGUCCAUUGAAAAGGUUAGAGAAUUUUAUAAUUUGUUUGCGAAGAAGAAUGGUUUUGGAGUACGGGUUUGCUCAACUAAACCAAAGAGAGCAGUCUUGGUAUGUUGCAAUGAAGGUCAACAUAAAGUGCAAAUCUCAAGAAUUAAAGAAAUUCAAGAUAGCACUAAUUAAACUAAAAGGAAGUGCUCAACUUUUUGAAGUGGUUGUCUGGCUUCACUUAUUGUUUCCAGAGGCACAACUAAAAGACUGAUGAGGAAUUGGCUAAUGGUGGAGUGAAUUAGGAUACAUUCCCUUAUACACAACUGUUUUAAGGUCCUUGUUUCGGUGCUGCCUUGUUUCGGGUUCUGAGGUCCUUUUUCUGCCAAGGUUGGAGGGUGCGGUGUGGCUGUUUUCUCGACCUUUAGAGCUGUUCUUGAUUACUGUUCCAGCUACUGGUUUUGCUUUUGUUUCUUUUUUCAUCUUGUUGUUUGUUGUUUUGCUUAGCUUUAGUUUCCUUUUGCUUUUUUGUUGCUCCUGUUGUUCUGCUAUCGUUCUGUUUUUCCUCACUUGGGAGAGGUUGUUCCCAAGCUUCUUGACUUUCUUUCUAUAUAUAUUAUUCUCCUUUAAAAAAACAACUUAUACACAAAUGCAGCUUUAUAAUGAAAGAUCCUGAUGACCCUAUUUUAGUAGUGUUUUUAGGGUCAUUUCUUUGUUGGUUUUGUGUCUUUUUGUUGAGUCUCAUGUAGUGUUUCAUGCACUCUCAUGCAUUUUUUUUUAUCUUUCUUUGUGUUUUUACUUUGUUUUAGUAAUUGUAUAGUUUUAUAAGGACCUUUCUUGCAUUUUAAGUAAGUUUAGGACUUGCAUAAUUUUUCUAUUUUAUUUUAGGGUUCUCUUGGCUAAUAGGCUCUUGGAGCUCCUAGAUAUUUCCUUGGCUUUGUGGUUAAGUUUUCAGGGCUGAAACUGAAGGAGAAAGAAGGUCAAGAAGCUUUGGGAAUUGAAGGGAGGCUUAAAGAGGCUUGAAGAGGAGUUAAGAGGAAGAUAAAAAGGUCUUCCUGCGAGCUUUGAGCGCCUAGGCGCUUUUUCCAGGGUUUUUGGAAUUGGCGCCUAGGCGUGCUCAAUUGGCUAGGCGCCAAUUGCCUUCCAGAGGGCACAUUUUCAGCUUGAAUUGGCGCUCAGGCGUGCUGAAUUGGCGCAUGAACGCCCAGACUCGUUUAUUUUUCCAAUAAAUAAAGUUUUGGCCAUUUUCUUUGUAACAUUUAGACAUUUUACUCAUUUUUGAUCAAGUUUAGAAGCUGAGGAGAAUCUUGGGGCUUGUGAGAGGCUUCCAACUUGUAAUUUUUCUUAAGUUCUUUAACAUUUCUUGUAUGGAUUCUCUAGCCAUGAGUGGCUAGUGUCCUUUUAUGC